rnacentral:rRNA from 1 species
AUGUCUAUCCGGCCGUUCUACCCAGAAGAUUUCUUGGUGUUGUGCGAGCAUCAACUCAUCUGGCAGCUCAUGAUGGACCGUGGGCGUGCACCGGGGAGGGGAUUCUCUCUCGCGCUGAGGCCAUGGCUCCGGCAGGCGCAAGCCAUGGCUGCGGCCCUGCCUUACCUCGUCCCUCUCCGGCUGGUUGGCGUGCCUGCGCAUGCGUGGACUAGGAGGAUGGCCGAAGUCGUGUUGCAUGGACUGGGAUUCGUCGUGCAGGUGGCGGAGCGGACAGCCAGGCGCCAUGACAUGUCACGUUUUCAGGUUUGGCUUAAGAUGGCGGAUCCCGACGUGAUUCCGUAA